rnacentral:lncRNA from 1 species
UUUUUUUUUUCCUGAUGAAAAACCCUGGGCUUUAGAGAAGUAAAACAGCUAAUGAGGUGUCACACGUUGGUUAAGAACCAGGCUAUGCUUCUUCAAACCAGCCACCUAAAAGUCCACUGCAGAGGUGGGCUCGUGUUUCUCCCGGGUCUUACAACUUUUUAAUUAUUCUGGAGAAAGAAAAGAAAAAAAAAAAAAAAAAAAGGAUCUCCUUCUGGAAGAAAAUAACCUCUCAUCUCAGCUCUGGGUGGCAGAUGACCACGGACAGAGAAAUUAAUGGGUGGGUUUUACUGUCCACGCACAGUUAGCAUUAACGACUCCAAAGAGGUGAAGGGCUGAGGAAGAUUUCAGCCGUAACGUUUUAUGAGACAGUUAUCUGCUUCCUUUUCUGCAGGAGGGAACGUCUCAGAAAUUUACGUUGCAUUUUUACCAGCCUGUCUAUAAACUAAUAGGAUGUAAAGUUCACAGACUUACUUUUAAAGGUUAUUAAUAACAUCCGCACUUGGCAGCUGCAGCCAGCAGUGUGUCUGGGUGACACGUCCCUCUUCACACUCUAGGAUUUGGCCACCGGCGAAAAGCGGCUGAGUAAAACGCACUUUUAAGAGCUCCGCGUUUCAGAGAGCCAGGGGACACCGUCCUUCAAUCAAAGGAAGCUCCCUCCAGAAAUAACACAUGUCUAAAUGUGCCUCAGAGUGCCAAUCCCUCAGCUGCCAGACAAGCAACACCUGCAGCGAUGUCUUCUGAAAUGUCCUAUAUGUAAAACUGAAUAAAGCGAAAAGUGGCCGGUGACAUGGGCUUCAAAGUUCUCCUAUCUCUCAAGUCAUUCAGAGCCUGUUUAAAAAUGCGCCUGGAGAAGAGGAGGGAGUGGGGUGGCCAGGGAGUCUGUGAUUAGCAGAUGCCAACUAGGCCAUUUAGAAUGAAUAAGCGAUGAGGUCCUGCUUACAGCACAGGGAGCUACAUCCAAUCUCUUGGGACAGAACAUGAUGGGAGAUGAUAUGAGAAAAACAAUGUUUAUACAUGUAUGACUGCGUCACUACGCAGUACGGCAGAAAUUGAUGGAACACCGUAAAUGAACUAUAAUUUUUAAAAAUUAAAAAAAUGUGCCUGCAUUUCUAAGUAUUCUAAGUUUGAACAACUCAAGAGUGUAAGAGACGGAGGGAGGGCAGGCGAGGAAAGGAUGAAGGAGCAAAGGAAGGAACCCAGGAGCCUGUGCUGGUCUCUAAGAACACCUUCCCCAUCGAGAACUUGGCAAGACAGCAAUUUCUCUAAAAGUUUUUAAAAUAAUUUUUAUUUUUUCCAUUAUAGCUGGUUUACAGUGUUCUGUCAAUUUUCUACUGCACAGCAAGGUGAUGCAGUCACACAUACAUGCAUACGUUCUUUUUUCUCACAUUAUCAUGCUCCAUCAUAAGUGACUAGAUGUAGUUCCCAGUGCUACACAGCAAGCAAUUUCAUUUUCAUUCUUUCUUUCUUUUUUUUUUUUGGUUUAUUGUCUUUUCAGGGCCGUACCCAAGGUAUAUGGAGCUAAACCUUAUGCGUAAACUUAGAGAGAAAGGUGGCAGAGGCUAACAAUAAAAUCAUCGCCCAGAAUGUCUUAGAGGCGGGCCGAGCAGAGAGCCACCACGCCUCCCACCUUGGAGGGGUGCUGAGCACCACACAUUAAUGUACCAGGAUGUGGCUGGCACAGAGCCUUGCAGAGAGCAGGUGCUCAAAACCUGCUGGCAUCAUUACCCUCACUUCGAAGGUGCUUCCAAGACAGAAGUUCCUGAAACACUUGGAGCAGAGACAGCCAAACAUCUCUGAAACAAGCACUCCUGCUAGCUAAGUGAUUUCUUCCAUGAAAAGAAUUUUUACUCACUUGGGGGGGGGGGAAAGGGGAGUGUUUCCUUUUUAUUAUUUUAUAGUCAUAACCAGAGAGGUAAUUUCAAAAACACACAUUUCAAGAGAUGCACUUGUCCCACAAAGCAAAUGCUCUUCUUCUGCAUAACUCCUUUCACAGGGAAAUCACAGGACAACUACGUUGCCCUAAUUUUGGUGCAGAGCCUGACUGCGUCAGCCUUGAGCUUGCUGAGCAAUUGCACUGCCUUUCGGGGAGGAGACAGCUGCCUAAUUAACAUUCUCCUAAACUCGCUGAGGAGGAAACCAUGAUACAAGCUCUCCUGCAGCGUCACAGCCAAAUCCAUGCAUCCAUCAUAAGAGCCGAGGUACUACAGAGUGCGUGUCUAAUUGUACGUGAAUCAGGCAUGAGCCGGGAAGGAAUCCAAUGGAAUCGUGAAGGCACUGGGAAGAAAGGUGCCACUACCUGAAAAAAGAGGAAGGAACCUGCUGUCCAGCACAGGCAACGCUACGCAAUGUUCCGUGAUAAUCUACAUGGGAAAAGAAUCUGAAAAAGAAUGGAUGGAUGGGUGUAUACGUCUGAGUCACUCUGCUGUACAGCAGAAAUUAUCACAACAUCAUCAAUCAGCUAGACGUCAAUAAAACUGGAAAAAAAAAAAAAA